rnacentral:rRNA from 1 species
CCUACGGGGGGCAGCAGUGGGGAAUAUUGGGCAAUGGGCGCAAGCCUGACCCAGCAACGCCGCGUGAAGGAAGAAGGCUUUCGGGUUGUAAACUUCUUUUAAGGGGGAAGAGCAGAAGACGGUACCCCUUGCAUCAGCCACGGCUAACUACGUGCCAGCAGCCGCGGUAAUACGUAGGUGGCAAGCGUUGUCCGGAUUUACUGGGUGUAAAGGGCGUGCAGCCGGAGAGACAAGUCAGAUGUGAAAUCCACGGGCUCAACCCGUGAACUGCAUUUGAAACUGUUUCCCUUGAGUGUCGGAGAGGUAAUCGGAAUUCCUUGUGUAGCGGUGAAAUGCGUAGAUAUAAGGAAGAACACCAGUGGCGAAGGCGGAUUACUGGACGAUAACUGACGGUGAGGCGCGAAAGCGUGGGGAGCAAACAGGAUUAGAUACCCUUGUAGUC